rnacentral:tRNA from 1 species
GGAAGUGUUGUCAAAUGGUUUGACAGACGGUUUAAAUAACUGUUGCUCUAAGAGCUGAGAGUUCAAGUCUCUCCAUUUCCC